AUGGGCUCUGUGUCCUUGCAAAGUACUUGGGGUCAUCUCACAAUCUUGGAUAUGCCGAUUCUGAAGAUGGAAAUCAAGCAUUCCUUGAUUCUGUUACUUGCAAUACUAGCAUUUAGUUCUGGGUGUAGCCAAAUUGUUGAAUCAGAUAUCUCUAAUGUUUUGUCGCCGAGAGCAUCGUCAGCAAACUUGUGCAGAUUCAGUGAGUCUUUGAACAUGUCAUCCGUUGGGUUCCUUCCAGUAAACAUCUCAAGCAACAAUAUGCCAAGACUAAACACAUCACCAGCAGUCGAGACAGCAGAGCCUUCCCCGUACUCUGCAAUAUAUUUGAAACAAGAAUUGAUGACAAAGUACAUCAAUGAUGUGGAGCAAAAAGAGUACAAGAAUUUCAGUUACCUGGAGCAACAUAUCCAAUGCUACCUCUUAUCCCAAUUGUGCUAUUUGAAUUAUUUUGAUUGCCAAUUCUGCUUUCGCCAAGUACUUUUGAGAUGCCAAAAUCUCCAACACGGGCGCUCAUGUCCUCUGCAAGAAGAAUAUUCCUUGGCUUGA
rnacentral:rRNA from 1 species